UAGGAAACUCACAUUGGCUUGUUCUGCUU
rnacentral:piRNA from 1 species